GGCGUCUAAUACUGGAUACGAAACUGGCCCGCAUGGGCAUGGUUUGGAAAGUUUUUCGGUUUGGCAUGGGCUCGCGGCCUAUCAGCUUGUUGGUGAGGUAAUGGCUCACCAAGGCGACGACGGGUAGCCGGCCUGAGAGGGCGACCGGCCACACUGGGACUGAGACACGGCCCAGACUCCUACGGGAGGCAGCAGUGGGGAAUAUUGCACAAUGGGCGAAAGCCUGAUGCAGCGACGCCGCGUGAGGGAUGACGGCCUUCGGGUUGUAAACCUCUUUCAGCAGGGAAGAAGCGAAAGUGACGGUGCCUGCAGAAGAAGCACCGGCUAACUACGUGCCAGCAGCCGCGGUAAUACGUAGGGUGCGAGCGUUGUCCGGAAUUAUUGGGCGUAAAGAGCUUGUAGGCGGUUUGUCGCGUCUGCUGUGAAAAUCCGGGGCUCAACCCCGGACUUGCAGUGGGUACGGGCAGACUAGAGUGUGGUAGGGGAGACUGGAAUUCCUGGUGUAGCGGUGAAAUGCGCCAGAUAUCAGGAGGAACACCGAUGGCGAAGGCAGGUCUCUGGGCCACUACUGACGCUGAGAAGCGAAAGCAUGGGGAGCGAACAGGAUUAGAUACCCUGGUAGUCCAUGCCGUAAACGUUGGGCGCUAGGUGUGGGACUCAUUCCACGAGUUCCGUGCCGCAGCUAACGCAUUAAGCGCCCCGCCUGGGGAGUACGGCCGCAAGGCUAAAACUCAAAGGAAUUGACGGGGGCCCGCACAAGCGGCGGAGCAUGCGGAUUAAUUCGAUGCAACGCGAAGAACCUUACCAAGGCUUGACAUAUAUCGGAAACAUCCAGAGAUGGGUGCCCCUUUUAGGUCGGUAUACAGGUGGUGCAUGGUUGUUGUCAGCUCGUGUUGUGAGAUGUUGGGUUAAGUCCCGCAACGAGCGCAACCCUCGUUUUAUGUUGCCAGCACGUUAUGGUGGGGACUCAUGGAAGACUGCCGGGGUCAACUCGGAGGAAGGUGGGGAUGACGUCAAAUCAUCAUGCCCCUUAUGUUUUGGGCUUCACGCAUGCUACAAUGGCCGGUACAAAGGGCUGGGAAACCGUAAGGUGGAGCGAAUCCCAAAAAACCGGUUUCAGUUUGGAUUGGGGUUUGCAACUUGACCCCAUGAAGUCGGAGUCGCUAGUAAUCGCAGAUCAGCAACGCUGCGGUGAA
rnacentral:rRNA from 2 species